UUUUGAAAUAAUUGAUGUGACUGACAAACACGUUUUGAAGAAAAUCUUUUAUUCCGUCGAAGUUAAUCGAGUUCUCCAUUAAAUCGGUCGUUGUAUUUACGGAAGACAUCGAUUGUGUUGGUAAUGACAAAAGGACACCAAUUAGACGAUCACUUUUGAAAUUCCAAAAUGGAACUCCAGAAUCAUCAUCAAGUUGAAGGAGCCGCUUGCUACCGGAUCAUCUUCUUCAGCCACAGCCCACAGCGAACGAAAGUUGUAAAAGCAUCGUCCUCGCACCAUCUGGAAGCGGUCCUUCGCACAAUUUGGAUAAGUGAAAUAUCACGAAAAAGAUAAUCCGGACUACACUUCCGAAUUUCUAUUAUUGCGAUGAGGAAUUGCGAGAUAUUCGACCGUUUUUUUCACCAUCCUGAUGGAGCUAGACCGGGCCGGACUGCAUUGAAAACAUCACCCGCCGGUCAUAAAUUAUCCACUCAACCCC